rnacentral:rRNA from 1 species
GAUGAACGCUGGCGGCGUGCCUAAUACAUGCAAGUCGAGCGAACGGACGAGAAGCUUGCUUCUCUGAUGUUAGCGGCGGACGGGUGAGUAACACGUGGAUAACCUACCUAUAAGACUGGGAUAACUUCGGGAAACCGGAGCUAAUACCGGAUAAUAUUUUGAACCGCAUGGUUCAAAAGUGAAAGACGGUCUUGCUGUCACUUAUAGAUGGAUCCGCGCUGCAUUAGCUAGUUGGUAAGGUAACGGCUUACCAAGGCAACGAUGCAUAGCCGACCUGAGAGGGUGAUCGGCCACACUGGAACUGAGACACGGUCCAGACUCCUACGGGAGGCAGCAGUAGGGAAUCUUCCGCAAUGGGCGAAAGCCUGACGGAGCAACGCCGCGUGAGUGAUGAAGGUCUUCGGAUCGUAAAACUCUGUUAUUAGGGAAGAACAUAUGUGUAAGUAACUGUGCACAUCUUGACGGUACCUAAUCAGAAAGCCACGGCUAACUACGUGCCAGCAGCCGCGGUAAUACGUAGGUGGCAAGCGUUAUCCGGAAUUAUUGGGCGUAAAGCGCGCGUAGGCGGUUUUUUAAGUCUGAUGUGAAAGCCCACGGCUCAAUCGUGGAGGGUCAUUGGAAACUGGAAAACUUGAGUGCAGAAGAGGAAAGUGGAAUUCCAUGUGCAGCGGUGAAAUGCGCAGAGAUAUGGAGGAACACCAGUGGCGAAGGCGACUUUCUGGUCUGUAACUGACGCUGAUGUGCGAAAGCGUGGGGAUCAAACAGGAUUAGAUACCCUGGUAGUCCACGCCGUAAACGAUGAGUGCUAAGUGUUAGGGGGUUUCCGCCCCUUAGUGCUGCAGCUAACGCAUUAAGCACUCCGCCUGGGGAGUACGACCGCAAGGUUGAAACUCAAAGGAAUUGACGGGGACCCGCACAAGCGGUGGAGCAUGUGGUUUAAUUCGAAGCAACGCGAAGAACCUUACCAAAUCUUGACAUCCUUUGACAACUCUAGAGAUAGAGCCUUCCCCUUCGGGGGACAAAGUGACAGGUGGUGCAUGGUUGUCGUCAGCUCGUGUCGUGAGAUGUUGGGUUAAGUCCCGCAACGAGCGCAACCCUUAAGCUUAGUUGCCAUCAUUAAGUUGGGCACUCUAAGUUGACUGCCGGUGACAAACCGGAGGAAGGUGGGGAUGACGUCAAAUCAUCAUGCCCCUUAUGAUUUGGGCUACACACGUGCUACAAUGGACAAUACAAAGGGCAGCGAAACCGCGAGGUCAAGCAAAUCCCAUAAAGUUGUUCUCAGUUCGGAUUGUAGUCUGCAACUCGACUACAUGAAGCUGGAAUCGCUAGUAAUCGUAGAUCAGCAUGCUACGGUGAAUACGUUCCCGGGUCU